GACGGAGGGUGCUAGCGUUGUUCGGAAUCACUGGGCGUAAAGGGCGCGUAGGCGGCCUUGCAAGUCGGUUGGUGAAAGCCCGGGCUCAACCCCGGAGGUGCGGCCGAUACUGGCAGGCUAGAGUACGGAAGAGGUAGCUGGAAUUCCCGGUGUAGCGGUGAAUGACGUAGAUAUCGGGAGGAACACCUGAGGCGAAGGCGGGCUACUGGGCCGAUACUGACGCUGAUGUGCGAAAGCCAGGGGAGCG
rnacentral:rRNA from 1 species